GAUCCUAGUGAUGACAAGACGACAUUGUCAACCAAUCCCCCACAGGGGAAUGAGGACAUGUCCUGCAAUUCUGAAUGGGUU
ensembl:snoRNA Snord96a small nucleolar RNA SNORD96 family